UGGAGGAUGACGGCCAAUCAAAUCCGCGGCUCCAACAUUCCCCCACCAAUCGCCUUCGCCCAGCUCUAACAUUUGACCAAUCACGACGGAGAAAUGUUGGGCGGAGCCGAGCGGUGCCGAGAAGAUUUGCGGUCACCUUCGUUGUUUUAGAGGGAGUGACAAAAGAUGUCGGACAACGAGUGAAAUGGCGAGUAUUUACACAUUUAUAACACUGCUGCACACACUAAAACUUUAUAUAGACGAGUAAUUUCACCAGUUGUGUUAAAUUACAUGUCUGACAUGUUGCCUUCUGUCGCGUUUGCUGACAUCCAUGUUAACGAUGAAGGAAUGUUAGCUUUGCUAGCUUGAUUUUGCCCAUUCACAAGACUAAUUCUAGUGUUUUUCAUGUGAUAAACACUCGUUUUCAUAGCUGGAGAUAUACUUUAAUUGUGUCCAUUUAGUGUUACAUGUAUCCCUUACACAAACAAAGUCGUACAUUGUUUGUUAAGGGAAGUUCACUGUCGGGGUGGGGGAGGGGUGGUCUUAGUGGUAUCCUGAGCCCACAGUGUCGUGCGAUUUAGGGGCCGUCCACACGGGCGAAAACGAUCUUUUUUUUCUCCGUCUUCCUCGUCAUCGUUAUAUUUGCGUUAUAUUUUAUAUAAUAUUUGCGUCCAUACGGAUCCACUGAAAACGACCGAAAACGCUGUAGUUCAUAUUCCAGGCAUCUAGGUGGCGCUUGACAUUCGCCAAAAACGGAGAAGAAGAUACGGAGUAUGCGCAUUAAGCUUGCGCGCUGUAAACAGACAGUUGACGGAGAAACCGAACACAACAAGAAGAAGAUGAAAAUGGCUAGUGCAAGGAAACCAGAAUCAUUUGUGUGGACCGUAAAUGAGGUCGAACUGCUGCUGCGACUCACACUCAACUACAAGGCGAGCAACAUCUUCCAAGUCCCACAAGGCGAUGGUGGACUCAGAGUCGAUGUCCCACCUGAGAAAGUUUGGCCGGCAGGUGGAGGAAACAGGCCAGCUCCCAGGCAGAAGAGGUGGUAUGCCCUUUAUCAGAUGGUAUGAGUAUAUUUAGUAUAUUCACUGUAUACAGUAUAUUGUAUUCAUUGUUAUUUACUCUCAUGAUAUAUUUAACUCAUCAUGAUUUGUGUAAAAUG
rnacentral:lncRNA from 1 species